rnacentral:lncRNA from 1 species
UGGAAAGGGAGUGGGUGGUGGGGGGGUGUGUGGCUUUAGGGUCUCUGGCUUAGGAAGCUGAGUCUCCGUAGUGCCAUUCAUACAGAUGGAAUGAGGGAAGAAGCAGUUUCAUGGGAAAGUAGUAAAUUUGAUUGAGUAACAAGAGCUUGGGGGAUCCAGAAGAGAGCUAGGUUUGCAGUUCAGGAGUCCAGGAGAGAGUCAGACUGAAAACAUAAGCCCAUGGAUAGUCAGUCAUUGAAGCCAUGGGAAUGAAGAUCACCUAUGGGAAACACAGAUAGAAGCGAAUGUUACCACAAUGAAGUGUGGUCUAUACAAUUAAUUGCUGCAAAGAGGUCAGAUGAGAAAAUGAAGAUGUUAUGUGUCUUUCUCAGCCCAUGAGUAGUAGAUUUUCAGUUCAAAUUCCAACCUUUCUCCAAAUCCAUAUUCCGUACACAGCACCACCUCUCAGCAUAUAUUUGCUAUGUGGUAGCAGAAUCCUUGGUGAAUGAGCAUCGAAAGGCAUGUUUUGAUCAGGCUGGGAAAUGAGGAGAGAAUGCGAAGAUCUGAAAGGAUCCCCUGUCUGGAAUAAAUCUUGGUAAAAGAUGCUACGAAAGCUGGACCUAGGACAGGA